UUAAAAACGCGGCCUUUUGGCUAAGAUCAAGUGUAGUAUCUGUUAUUAUCAGUUUAGUAUCUGAUACGUGGGCCAUCGGUGCACAUGAUAUUAAAUUUUUUUUUUUUAGGGGGACUGGCCUCAACAAUAGCUUGCUAUUGGGUCUUUCGCGCGUCGCUCAAGCGCUGCACUAAAGCUCGAACCUGGCGCACCCCAC